UACAGAGGGUGCAAGCGUUAAUCGGAAUUACUGGGCGUAAAGGGCGCGUAGGUGGUUAAUUAAGUCAGAUGUGAAAUCCCUGGGCUUAACCUAGGAAUUGCAUAUGAAACUGAUUGUCUAGAGUUCGGGAGAGGGAAGUGGAAUUUCCGGUGUAGCGGUGAAAUGCGUAGAUAUCUGGAGGAACACCGGUGGCGAAGGCGGCAUCCUGGACCAACACUGACACUGAGGAGCGAAAGCCAGGGGAGCAAACGGG
rnacentral:rRNA from 1 species